ACCGAAGAAUGCACAGGGCCAGGCAGAGAGCCAGCUAAGCCCAGCCCCGGUCCCCUCCACUACCCCACCACCUGUGUGACCCUGCCCCAGGCCUCACACCCCCCCUCCUCGUCCUCUUCAGUCAGAACCAAUGGGAAGCGCGCCCCCCCUAGCACCCAGCAAACACCACAGCAGCUGCCCCCUCCGCCGUCGUCCUCAGGCCCCCGCUACCCGCCCCGUGAGGUUCCCCCGCGUUUCCGCCAGCAGGAGCACAAGCAGCUACUGAAGAGGGGCCAGCCACUGCCAGCCGGAGCCCUGAGUAGCCUCACAGUGACCCCUGCCUCCGACCCGCUCACCCCUGGUGCCCCCGCUUCUUCUUCCUCCACAGGCAAGCGCCACACAGGUCAGUUCCCUGCUUAUUGCGUCUUAACCUUGGCUCCUUGGCUAGAUCUGGUUCCCCAGUAGGAAUGUGUCCUGUUUCUCUGUGUAACUUGAUAGAGAAGCUGAUGUUACUAAAUUGGUCCCAUGAAAUGAAGUGUCACAGGUCAUCGUGGGAGAUGGGCGAGGCUGUUCAACACAGGGCUCUACGCUGACCUUUACAAGGAGCACUUGUGCGCUUAACUUGAAAGAAAUGUAGGCGCACACAAAUACAUUUAGGAGCGCUACGAAUAAUAUUUGAAAUAUUAAAGCUAUAAUCCCAAAAUGUUCUAGGUGCGCUGAAAUUCAAAUUCUAGGUCGACAGCAAAUAUUUAGGCCCAUAUGCGAGAAAUGUUUGCGGUGUUAGAGCCCUGCAACAGGUUGAGGAAGAAUGGAGCGAAUUGCAAAUCCGUAUGAUGGGUCCACCUGUGGGUCAGUCCAAAAAGCCUUUUUGUUACUGCCCCUGUUCUCUCUACUCGAGCACUGACAUUAGGGAAUUGAUGAUGGUGUGUUACUCUGAGAAUCUCCUCCACUCUGACCCAUUGGUUCACCUGUGUUUCUACAUGGGCUCUGUGCACUGCAGAGAGGCUUUCGCUUGACCCUAUUGAAAUAUGGCCGUGGUGGUGUUGAGCCACUGAGUAGGUGCUGUGGCGAUUGGAGAGCGCUCGGGACUUUUAUCUCCCGCGGUCACCUUUUAAAAAAAAAAAAAAAAAAUUUAAACUCCCCAGCGACUGGGUCUGUGGACUGCGGAGAAACCUGCCAGUGGGCUUUAAUUUAGGGCGAAAGACAGAGUGGGUGGACAAACAAUAUGAGCCUUGAGUAGAUAUGUCUCCAGCAUCGUUUUUCCUCCAGUGAGGCAGUGGAGGCGUGCUGUCACUGCAAGCUGUCUGGGGAACCACUGUGUUAGCCUACAGUCUUCCUUUCUGUGCCUUGACCCUGCAGCUUUUCUCUGACCA
rnacentral:lncRNA from 1 species